AACGAACGCUGGCGGCAUGCCUAACACAUGCAAGUCGAACGAGACCUUCGGGUCUAGUGACGCACGGGUGCGUAACGCGUGGGAACCUGCCCUUAGGUUCGGAAUAACUCCCCGAAAGGGGUGCUAAUACCGGAUAAUGUCUUCGGACCAAAGAUUUAUCGCCUUUGGAUGGGCCCGCGUUGGAUUAGCUAGUUGGUAGGGUAAAAGCCUACCAAGGCGACGAUCCAUAGCUGGUCUGAGAGGAUGAUCAGCCACACUGGGACUGAGACACGGCCCAGACCCCUAGGGGGGGCAGCAGUGGGGAAUUUGGGACAAUGGGCGAAAGCCUGAUCCAGCAAGGCCGGGUGAGUGAUGAAGGCUUUAGGGUUGUAAAGCUCUUUUACCCGGGAUGUUAAGACCGGAACCGGGAAAAAAAGCCCCGGCAAACUCCGU
rnacentral:rRNA from 1 species